UGAUUCUCGACAAGUGAUUGGAAUUCUCGAUACACUUUUGUCACAGUUUGGCGUGCCAUAUCUUCACGUACGUCAUACGUUGCGAAGCAGGAAAUUGAGUCUCUGAAAUUCUCACGGAAGAAAACCAAAUUACAUGGUGAAAAUGGUAAAGACAAAUUUAGUAUUUUCGACUGUUACAUUGAUCACAUUUCUUGGUCUUGCCAAAGGAACAAUAACAUCUCCACCUGAUGGUCAAAGAUUAGUAUUUUUACCUGGAUCUUCUCACAAUAUAACUUGGACAUUAAAUGUUACUGGAAACAUUCGUUUAUGGCAGUGGAGUUUAACACCUCGUGGUUCAUCUCCCCCUCAACAAAUUGCAUAUAUAUAUUCUGAUAGUGACAUACCCGAAUAUUCAGCAUCACCUUUGACAUUUGAAGUUUUUAAACCUGGAACUUUGUGGCUGAAGAAUGUAAAUCAAAGUUACAAUGGUGAAUUUACAUUUAGAAUUACAACUAAUCGUACUACUCCAUCAAAAGUAAAUGUUUAUAUUGCUGUUAAACCAACAGUAUCGAUUGACUGUUCAUCUCCUCUGUUUGUGAGUGAAAGUGAUGGUGUGUCAUGUGUAUGUAAAGGUGAAAGAGGUAACCCUCCUGCUAAUGUCACAUGGUUUGAUAAAGAUAACAACAUAAUUGGUGAUGUUGGAGUUGUAAGUGCGACUUUAGUAAUCCCUGAUGUUAAAGUGAAUGAUAAUGGAAGUUACAGAUGUAAAGCACAAAGUUAUGAUGAUCCAGGUUUCAGAGAUGAAAAAUCCAUUGAAAUACAAGUAAAACCUACUUAUCCACCACAACAAACCAAUAUUACCAUCAGUCCAAUGUCAGUAAAACAAGGUCAAAAUGUGACAAUAACCUGUAAAUCAGAUGGUUAUCCUGAACCAACCUACACUAUUUACCAUAAUGGUGCAGUUAUCAGCAAUAAUAAGACAUACAUCAUUCAAUCUGUCAACUUCAAUCACGCUGGUUCAUAUCGUUGUGAAGCAAAAAAUAAACUGGGAAAUGAUUUAUCUGAUGUUAAAAAUCUUACUAUCAUCAAAGUGAAACCAAAUGUGGUAAUUAAUUGUUCAACACCUCUGGUUGUGAAUGAAGGUGAUAAUGUAUCAUGUGUAUGUAGAGGUGAAGGAGGUAACCCUCCUGCUAAUGUCACAUGGUUUGAUAAAAAUAACAACAUAAUUGGUGAUGUUGGAGUUGUAAAUAAGACAUUAGUAAUCACUAAUGUUACAUUGAAUGAUGGUGGAAAUUACACAUGUAAAGCACAAAGUUAUAAUGAUCCACGUUUUAGAGAUGAAAAAUCUAUUGAAGUAACAGUGAAAGCUACUUAUCCACCACAACAAACCAAUAUCACCAUCUGUCCGAUAUCAGUUAGAAAAGGUCAAACUGUGACAAUAACCUGUGAAUCAGAUGGUUAUCCUGAACCAACCUACACUAUUUAUCAUAAUGGUGCAGUUAUCAGUAAUAAUAAGACAUACAUCAUUCAAUCUGUCAACUUCAAUAACGCUGGUUCAUAUCGUUGUCAAGCAAUAAAUAAACUGGGAAAUGAUUCAUCUGAUGUUAAAAAUCUUACUAUCAUCAGAGUGAAACCUACAGUGGUAAUUAAUUGUUCAACACCUCUGGUUGUGGAUGAAGGUGAUAAUGUAUCAUGUGUAUGUAGAGGUGAAGGAGGUAACUCUCCUGCUAAUGUCACAUGGUUUGAUAAAGAUAACAACAUAAUUGGUGAUGUUGGAGUUGUAAAUAAGACAUUAGUAAUCACUAAUGUUACAUUGAAUGAUGGUGGAAAUUACACAUGUAAAGCACAAAGUUAUAAUGAUCCACGUUUUACAGAUGAAAAAUCUAUUGAAGUAACAGUGAAAGCUACUUAUCGACCACAACAAACCAAUAUCACCAUCAGUCCAAUGUCAGUAAAACAAGGUCAAAAUGUGACAAUAUCCUGUGAAUCAGAUGGUUAUCCUGAACCAACCUACACUAUUUAUCAUAAUGGUGCAGUUAUCAGUUAUAAAAAGACAUACAUCAUUCAAUCUGUCAACUUUAAUCACGCUGGUUCAUAUCGUUGUCAAGCAAAGAAUAAAGUGGGAAAUGAUUUAUCUGAUGUUAAAAAUCUUACUAUCAUCACAGCUAUUUUAGCAUUUGUCAUUGAAGCAUUUGUCAAGAUAUUCAUCUACUGAUUGCAACACGAAAGAAAAAGGAUACCAUGGUGAAAAUGGUGUUGAACCAUUAGCAGGAGCUAAUAAUGCACAACCCAAUCAUUAUGAAGAGGCUGGACAACUGAGAGAAAAUGCUUAUUAAUCUGUUGGUAAUCAAUAUGAAACAGUAAAUAAUCCAUCAACAAGUGAUGAAAGUAAACCAUCAACAAGCAAAGCACCACCACCUGUUUAUGCCUCGAUCGAUAGAGAAAAUAGAGAAGGAAAUCCAUUAUACUCCUCACUUGAUUUAAAAGAUGUCCCUUAAAAAAACCCGGCCCAAAAUCGUCCUGCACCGACUAAAUGCGCCAGUAUUGAUAUGAGCAAACUGGCACCUGUCGAGAAAAAAGACGACAAGAAAAAAGACGACAAGAAAGGCGGUGACAAAAAAGGCGAUGAAAAGAAGGUAUAAACUGGCGAUCGUCGUUAAUAAAACAAGAGUACGUAAAGACUGUUACUACAUUUAUAAAGUUUUAUUUUGUUCUUUAUUAUAUAAUCUAGAUUUGAUCUCUAAACAGUACUAAACUGAAUACUUUAUGAUUGUGUCUGUGUACAUAAUCUUUUGCCAUGAACAAACUUGAAUCUUGGCAUCUAUGCUACAGUUUGUGAAUGUAUUUUACUUGCCUUUAUAAGGCAACAACAUUACACACUGACUUUAACACAGCAUUUUGAAUAGAAUAUUGUUUUAAUCGUA